UAUCAUACACAUAGAUUAAAAUUGAUCAUACAACUAUAAGUUAAUUUUAGAUCAAUUGCACCCUAAAGCCAUAGUAUAAUUGCUCUAGCUUAAUUUUUCACUACUUUACUUGUAAUUGCCUAGAGCUUAAGUAAAUAACAUCUUAUCAUUCCGCUACAUUCAAUUCAAAGUAAAAAUUAGGGAACAUAAUUUUUAGAAAAGCCCAAUUCACCCCCCCUCUUGGGUUGUCACCUUGGGCAACAAGUGGUAUCAGAGCAGGUGCUCUUCUAUUAAUUAUAGUCUUAACCGACUAGAGCUAAAGAUUAUGACAACCCCACAUAACAUAUUAUUUGCCGAGGGACUUUCCAUAAACAGACCUCUACUG
rnacentral:lncRNA from 1 species